rnacentral:rRNA from 1 species
GUGCCAGCAGCCGCGGUAAUACGUAGGUGGCGAGCGUUAUCCGGAUUUACUGGGCGUAAAGUGAGCGCAGACGGUCUUUCAAGUCAGUUGUUAAAUCUCUCGGCCUAACCGGGUGAGCGCAUCUGAUACUGUGGGACUAGAGGACAACAGAGGGAGGUAGAAUUCCCGGUGUAGUGGUGGAAUGCGUAGAUAUCGGGAGGAAUACCAGUGGCGAAGGCGGCCUCCUGGGUUGUUUCUGACGUUCAUGCUCGAAGGUGUGGGGAGCAAACAGGAUUAGAAACCCCGGUAGUCC